rnacentral:rRNA from 1 species
GCUCAAAACUCCAAGGACUUGGCGGUGCUCCAUAUCAGCCUAGAGGAGCCUGUCCUAUAAUCGAUACCCCACGUUAAACCUUACCACCUUUGGCCACUCAGCCUAUAUACCGCCGUCGCCAGCAUACCUUGUGAAAGAACCAACAGUAUGCACAACAGUUAUUAACUAAUACGUCAGGUCAAGGUGUAGCACAUAAGAUGGAAGAGAUGGGCUACAUUUUCUGCCACAGAACAAACGAAAGGAGCAAUGAAACAUGCACCCGAAGGCGGAUUUAGCAGUAAGACAGACA